rnacentral:lncRNA from 1 species
AUGAACUUUGCCAGUUUUAAAGCACUGGUUCAAAGUUUUCUUUUUUUUAAAAAAAGGGUGAACCAAACAAAACACAUCUGGGAGCCAUAUUUGGUCCUCAGAUGACAAGCUUGCAAUGCCUUGUUUAUAUAUUUGUCUCUCACUUGGUUUCUCUCAUACUUCAUCUCUCCAAAAGCAGUAAUUGCAUUACUCUUUCUGUAUUCUCAGGGCCCAGGAUACUGACCAACUCACAAAAAGGGUCAGGAAAUGUGUGUUGAAAUGAAUAGUACAUUUUGGAAGUGGUCUACUUUGGCAUUAUAGUCCAUGUAGGUUUAUUUGAGGCCCAGCUGGUGACAGCUUUCCAAUUCAAGUUAUGAAGAGCUGGGGAGAGAGCAUAUUUUGACAGCUGAUCAUAAUUCUUGGAAUAUUUUGUCCCAGGGCCCUGGUCUGCCGGGUCUUAGAACUGGGUGCAAAGUCACAUCUUGAAAUUGAUGUUCACGUGAAUUUGAGUUCUUAGUACAGGAAUAGAAUCUAUUCUCUGCCCUGAAGUGAUUUGAUUGUGAAAUGUGUAGCUUUACCAACAAGAACGAAUGAAGUUUAUGUAUACCAUUUAGGGAGGUUUUAAAUUUGGCAGGAAAGUUCCUAAUAAUACAACUUGUUUGGACUUUUCUAUAGAUAAAUUGGGACCCUAACCUUUACCCCAGGAGUGGACAGUGUCAGAACAUGAUUAACCUCUAAGACCGGUAGUCAUCUGUUUUUCAGUGCCAGCAUUACAUGGUAGAAUUUUGUUUUUUGUUUUUUGCAAACCAGUGUAGCCCUUCUUGCUUUCCUGCCUGCAUAAUGGAUUGUUCUGCAUUGCAUAAUUCAUGUCGGGCACCAGGUUUGCUGCACUAGGAUGAGGAAAGGGAUUCAGACACUAUCUUAUUAUUAUUAUUUUUGCAACAACUUUGCAAGUAGAUAAAAUUUAACCCAUUUUAGUGAUGAAGAAACCAAGUCUUAGAGAGGUGAAGUAAUUUGCUUUAACUUAACAGCUAGUAAACUGCAAUUCUAAUCUGGUUCUAAUUGCAGAGCCUGUGCUGUUAAAUAGUAUUCAAGAUCAGUGGUUUUCAACUGAGGUAAUGUUGCCUUUCCAGGGAACAUUUGGCAAUGUCUGAAGACAGUUUUGAUUGUUACAUCUGGGAAGUGCCACUGGUAUAUAGAGGGGUAGGGGUCGGGGUACUGUAAACAUCCUUUAAUGCACCAGAGAGCCCACUGCCAACAAAGAUUUAUCUGGCCCAAAUGCCAAUAGCAGCAAGAUUGGGAAACCCUGCCUUCUAGUUCUCACAGAAUUCCCCAUAGAUUCACUCACCAUCUCCUGAGCUCACUUUAUUUUCUUCUUAGCUCUCAUCACCAUCUGAAGUUAGCCUGCCUAUUAUCUGUUCCACUGGAGUGUAAUCACUUGAGAGCAGGAAUCUGAUCCAUAAUCCAUGUAUUCUACUCUCCUUAUGGCCAGGCAGUACCUGGCAGCUGAGCAGCAUAAACAUUUGUGGAAUGAAUGAGUGAAUGAAUGAACCAAUCAAGAUGGCAUCCUUCUUGGUGUGGGUAGGUACCUUCCAAUUGGAUAUGGCUCAGGGAAGAUACGAGAAUUUACCGGAAGCCUUGAACAGUUCUGGGGAACAAUGGAGACACACUGUGGCUUCCCAAAGGGAAGAGCGAGAGGUGAUCAGACAGCCAGUUCUCAUUCUUGCAAAACUUGACAAGCAAUGACUUGAAAGAGGAGGAUGGGAGCUUGUUGGUUCUCAGCAUUCUCAUUGUUUAACUAUUCUAAUGGUUUCUGCCUCCUUCUUUGUGUUUUCCUAAGAGUCCUUUCUUUUCAAAGUUGGGAUGACUUCCAGCUCUCACCUGCCCAAUCUGUCCUGUCACCUGGCUGUUGGGCUUCAUGUAUGAAAGUGAAAACCGAGGAGAGUAGACCUAUACGGAUGAUAACAAUAGUGGAGCUUGAUUUAGUGCCUCUCUACUCAGGCUUUGCACUGAGGGCCACACGUGCACCAUCCUUCAUCCUUAGCACGUGCUGUGAAGUGUGUGUACCAUCCUCUCCAGUUUAGCGGUCAGAACCCUGAGCCUUGGAAGUUGUUACUUGUCUGAGAUUAGGUGACAGCAGAUUAGGUGACAGCGGUGGGUUUCCUCUAGCUUGGUGUUCGUCAGGAGGCUGCAUUGUUGCCUGGUGACAGGUGGCAGGAUCCCCUUCAGGGUGUGAUGUACCAUUGUGUGAAUUAAGGCAUUGCUUGUAAAGACAAAAAUUUCAAGUUGGCUUAUAUGUGUUGUGGGUGGUUGAAAAAUUAUAUGGUAUCUCCCUACAGUGGCUUAUUCUGUAGUCAGUUAAAAAAGUGAGGUGGAUCUCUGUCCUGACAUGUAAACAGAUGAUGAUAUAUUAAAUAAAAAAGACUGUUGCAACGUUUGUUGUCGAGAAAAGAAUACUUGGGCCGUUCCCUUUCAUUUUCCCUUUGGCGCAUUUAUGUGUGCUGCCAUGUGGGGACACCCUUGAAGUUAGCUGAAUUGGCUUCCUCUGGUAUCUCCAACCUUUUGUCACAGAGAGUUGAAAGGAAAGGUAAAUUCUUUUGUCCUAAAUGAAUCAUCAGCUGGAAGAAAAGUCUGAACUCUAGCCCUCUAUUAUAUUCCCCAGCCAGGGAUGACUUUGGGCAAAUUGGUGUCCCUCCAGUUCCCUGGGAAGGCACUUGACUCAACAGGCCUCUUUCCAUUUAAAUACCACAGGUAACACUUGGCUUCCUCUGAGAAAGCUUUCAAGUCCUGCCCCUUUGCUUACAGCUGGCUGGCAUUCUGUGUACCCACUACGGCACUAGGAUGAGACCGGCCAUAAAAUAUUUGCUCUAUGCUUUUAUCACUGCCUGGAAAUCCUGAGGGCAAAGGUGCUUUGUAAACACCAAGUUGGUAGUGAGUGGUGUGCAGAAAAUUUGGAAAUAAACACAGUUCAGUUCAUGUAGGGGUUAUGGGACUUCUCCAAAUACCACAAACUGGAAAUUCUGAAAAGAAAGUUAGAUUUUAUCAAAAUUUGGGUGUUUGGGAUUUUCAAAGAGCUGUCCUACUAAUGACAUCAGAGCCCCAUAUAGCCAGAGAAAGCUUCGUUUCAUUAUAAUGGUGUAAGUGAGGAACGCCUAGAAGUGUGCUUGUUUUCAGCCUCUUAUCAUCUGCCGGCCUGCACCCUGGUCAGAGGAUCAGAUUCUUUCAAGAGGCAGUUUCUUUCAUUCAGCCUUUUACUUGAGUGAAGCAGGCUUGUUGGGCAUCAGUGAAUAUCAUGCUAAGAGUUCCGUAGUUCAAGGAGACCUAGAAUAAGGGGGAAAGCACUUUGUGAAUUGCCCAAGUUAUUGCCUAGGGAUAUGCAUAUUGGGAGCCCUGAGGAGUGGCCAAGGCACCACAGAACAGAGACUCACACUCAGUACCUGAGCAGGCUCCUUACUUUCUGUAUACUUUUUGUUGUAAAAUGGAGUUAAUAGCAGCACCCAUUUCAUAGUGUUAUUGUGAUGACUUACUAAU